AACGUAGGAGGCGAGCGUUAUCCGGAUUUACUGGGUGUAAAGCGCGAGCAGGCGGUCUGGUAAGUUGUGCGUGAAAGCGCCCAGGCUCAACCGGGCGAGGACGUGCAAAACUGCUGGACUAGAGGUAGGUAGAGGCAGAUGGAAUUCCGGGUGUAGUGGUGAAAUGCGUAGAGAUCCGGAGGAACACCAGUGGCGAAGGCGGUCUGCUGGGCCUGACCUGACGCUCAGACGCGAAAGCAUGGGGAGCGAACGGG
rnacentral:rRNA from 1 species